rnacentral:rRNA from 1 species
AAUGAACGCUGGCGGCAGGCCUAACACAUGCAAGUCGAACGGAUCCUUCGGGAUUAGUGGCGGACGGGUGAGUAACGCGUGGGAACAUACCCAAAGGUACGGAAUAGCCUCGGGAAACUGGGAGUAAUACCGUAUGUGCUCGAAAGAGGAAAGGUUUAUCGCCUUUGGAUUGGCCCGCGUUGGACUAGGUAGUUGGUGGGGUAAUGGCCUACCAAGCCGACGAUCCAUAGCUGGUUUGAGAGGAUGAUCAGCCACACUGGGACUGAGACACGGCCCAGACUCCUACGGGAGGCAGCAGUGGGGAAUCUAAGACAAUGGGGGAAACCCUGAUCUAGCCAUGCCGCGUGAUCGAUGAAGGCCUUAGGGUUGUAAAGAUCUUUCAGGUGGGAAGAUAAUGACUGUACCACCAGAAGAAGCCCCGGCUAACUCCGUGCCAGCCGCCGCCGUAA